AUUGAACGCUGGCGGCAGGCCUAACACAUGCAAGUCGAGCGGAGCGGCGGACGGGUGAGUAAUGCCUAGGAAUCUGCCUGGUAGUGGGGGAUAACGUCCGGAAACGGGCGCUAAUACCGCAUACUAUCAGAUGAGCCUAAGUCGGAUUAGCUAGUUGGUGGGGUAAAGGCCUACCAAGGCGACGCUCCGUAACUGGUCUGAGAGGAGGAACAGUCACACGUGAACUGAGACACGGUCCAGACUCCUACGGGAGGCAGCAGUGGGGAAUAUUGGACAAUGGGCGAAAGCCUGAUCCAGCCAUGCCGCGUGUGUGAAGAAGGUCUUCGGAUUGUAAAGCUCUUUAAGUUGGGAGGCGUUACCAACAGAAUAAGCACCGGCUAACUUCGUGCCAGCAGCCGCGGUAAUUC
rnacentral:rRNA from 1 species